GACCCGUCUUGAAACACGGACCAAGGAGUCUAGCAUGUGCGCGAGUCACGGGGUCUCUCGAAACCCAAGGGCGCAAUGAAAGUGAAGGCCGCCUCCGGCUGGCCCAGGCAAGAUCCCGAGUCGUUCGCGACGAGGGCGCACUGCCGGCCCGUCUCGCUGGCAUCGACCACGAGGCGGAGCAAGAGCGCACACGCUGGGACCCGAAAGAUGGUGAACUAUGCCUGAGUAGGACGAAGUCAGGGGAAACUCUGAUGGAGGUCCGUAGCGAUUCUGACGUGCAAAUCGAUCGUCAAACUUGGGUAUAGGGGCGAAAGACUAAUCGAACCAUCUAGUAGCUGGUUCCCUCCGAAGUUUCCCUCAGGAUAGCUGGCGCCGAUCCGGUAGUUUUAUCCGGUAAAGCGAAUGAUUAGAGGCCUUGGGGACUUUUAGACCUCAACCUAUUCUCAAACUUUCAAUGGGUAAGAAGCGCGGCUCGCUCAAAUGGAGUCGUCGCAUCGUAGAAUACCCGGUGCCAAGUGGGCCACUUUUGGUAAGCAGAACUGGCGCUGUGGGAUGAACCAAACGCCGGGUUAAGGCGCCCGAUGCUGACGCUCAUCAGAGACCAUAAAAGGUGUUGGUUGAUACAGACAGCAGGACGGUGGCCAUGGAAGUCGGAAUCCGCUAAGGAGUGUGU
rnacentral:rRNA from 1 species